UUUUUAAUAUUUAUUUAUUUAUAUUGAUUUAUUUAUUGUUAUUAUUAUAAUUGUAUUAAAAAUAAUUAUAUAAUUUCAUGUUUUAGUAAUUUUUAAUGAAAAAAUAAAAUUAAUAAUAGUGUAUUAUUGUAUUGUGAAAGAUAAUUGAAAUAUUUUGAAAAAUAUUUAUAAAAAAAGAAAAUUUGAUUUAUUGUACCUUGUGUAUCAGGGUUUAUUAAAUAAUUAAUAAUUUUUUAUUAAUCUCGAUUUUAUAAGAUUUAAUAAUUUAUGAAAGUUAAUGUAUUAAAAUUAUUUUUAAUAAAUUAUUUGAAAUGAAAUGUUAUUCGUUUAUAAAGAUAUCUAGUUUUUUUAGAAAUAAAUUUAAUUUAUAAAUUUUUAAUUUUUUAUUUAUUUAUUUAAUUAAAAAAAUUAUUAAUUUAAAUAUUUUAAGGGAUAAGCUUUAAAAUAAAUUUUUAAAAAUAAAUAAUAUUUUUAAUAAAUGUAUGCUUAAAAUUAGUAAUCAUUUAUAAGUUUGUUAUAAAUUAUUUAUUUUUAUAUAUUAUUUAAUUAAUUUUAAUUUUUUAUAAAAAUGUUUUUUUGAAUUAAAAAUAAGAAGAAAUAAUGAUAAAAUUAGUAUAAUAAAUUUUGUUUAAAUAUAUUUUAAUGAUAAGUUUAUAUAAAGAACUCGGCAAAUAUUUUACUCGCCUGUUUAACAAAAACAUGUCUUUUUGAGUUAUUUUUAAAGUCUAACCUGCCCACUGAAUAAAUUUUUGAAUGGCCGCAGUAUUUUAACUGUGCAAAGGUAGCAUAAUCAUUAGUCUUUUAAUUGAAGGCUGGUAUGAAUGGUUGGACGAAGUAUUAGCUGUUUCAUAUAAAAUUAUAUUAGAAUUUUAUUUUUUAGUUAAAAAGCUAAAAUUUUAUUAAAAGACGAGAAGACCCUAUAAAUCUUUAUAUUUGUUUUAUUUAUAAAUUUUAUAGAUUUAUUUUAUUUUUAUAUAAAAAAAUAUUUUAUUGGGGUGAUAUUAAAAUUUAAUAAACUUUUAAUUUAUAUUAUUUAAGAUCAUUAAUUUAUGAAUUAUUGAUCCAUUAUUAGUGAUUAUAAAAUUAAGUUACUUUAGGGAUAACAGCGUAAUUUUUUUUGAGAGUUCAUAUUGAUAAAAAAGUUUGCGACCUCGAUGUUGGAUUAAGAUAUAAUUUUAGGUGUAGUUGCUUAAAUGUUAAGUCUGUUCGACUUUUAAAUUCUUACAUGAUCUGAGUUCAGACCGGCGUAAGCCAGGUUGGUUUCUAUCUUUAAUUAUUUAUAAUAUUUUAGUACGAAAGGACCAAAUAUUAAAAUUAUAAAAUUUUAUAAAAAGAAUAUUAUUAAUUUUUAA
rnacentral:rRNA from 1 species